rnacentral:sRNA from 1 species
GAGGAGGAGAGAAGGGAACAGGAGGGGACUGGAGCGGGGGUUGGAGGAGAGAAAAGAAAAGAAUGAACAACGCAGCUACUCAUUUCCGGUUCUCGGAACUUGGGACCGCUGGUACUGGCCUGAGAGGAGGUAGGUGAGUUGAAUUUCGGACUUGUCUCUGCUAUGGCUUAAGCUGUGUUGAGUUCUGUGCGCACUAGGGGGCCACCACUGCGGUGGCUAAAGUAGCUGGUAGGGCGCCCAGCUGCCUUGGGGACGGGACUAAGUAAGCAACCACAGCAGGUGGAGGUCUUCCAAGCGCAGCUUAGGCUGCUGAGGGAUGUGCUUAGCGAGGAGCUCGCAGAAGUUUCAACUAUAACAUUUCUAUAACAGUGACAGCAGCCUAGAGGAUGCCCUGACCCCACUGCGGACACAGGCCGCCAGACUCCAGGGUUGUUCUCAGCUAGUGAGAUCAGCUCCCAGCAACCCAGAGCUGAGUUGAUUUUCCGCCGUGCGUUCACUUCCCGAUUCCUGCUACCCAUUCUGGGUCCCACCCUUCCAUUCCACUCUCCAUAACUGCCUCCCGGAGUUGCUUCUCAUCCCGGGGUUAUGACAGGUUAAAUUUGGAGUCCUUGGCUUAUGGCUGGGGUUACUUCCCUGUUCUUUUCUCGGGCCCUCAAGGUAGCUCAGUUACAAACAGUAGAUCCUUUCUGUGAAUGGCACACAGCAUCUGAAUCAUACAGAGGGAUUCCUGCCUUCUGCUGACCUGUCACUGAGGUAUCAUUGUCUUACCAAAGCUCACACGUAGUUUUGAGGCUUGUGAGCUUGCUAUGAGGGAGGCCCAGAGCCACCUGGUCAGCUUUCUGCGGGCAUGGAGACAUAUUCCUCUUCUCUGUCCACGAGUGCUAUGGUUUGAACAUUCUUUCUCAUCACCAGAGUUCACACGGAAAGCCCCAGUGUGGGAGUGUUGAGAUGCCCUCAGACCUUUAAGAGAUUAGAACUCUCAGCUACCUCUCUGCCUGUCUGCAUGCCAACAGGUCUCCCACCGUGAUGAUAAGGAACUAAACCAUUGUGAGCCAGCUCCAAAUUACAUGCUUUCCUAUAUAAGAGUUGCGUGGUCAUGGUGUCUCUUCACAGCAAUAGAUCAUUGACUAAGGCUGGUGGUGGCGGCAGCAGCAGAAGCAGCAGCAGCAUGUGGAGGCAGAGGCAGGAGAAUGAAUCUCUGAGAUCAAGACCAGUCUGGCAGUGCUACGCAGAGAACCCCUGUCUGAAAAGAAAAGAAAAAAGUUAAAACAAACAAACAAACUCCCAAACGAACAAUUAAGACAGUACUCAGUUCAAAUGUUCCAUCGCGGCAACAGAAAUCAGACUUAGACGGUAAGAUGUUCUUAUCUCCCUUUUCAGCUCAGAUGUAACCCCAUCUCACAGGCUUGCUGUUCUCGUUGUGUUCAGCUGGCCGUGGUGCUCCGUUGACGAUCCUCAGGAGCUCGAUUCGGUAUCGCUCCGCUCUGUUUGUAAUAGAAGACUCAGAGACUUAACAGCUACCCACCAUGCCUGUUGCCAUCUUCCAAGAAUCCUCCUCGUUGACUUUAAUGAGAAGAAAUUCACAUGAAUGAACACACAUAUGCACACAUAGACAGAAACAUAGACAGUUGGUUUAUGGAGUUCACCAGGCUCAAUACAAGCUUUAGGUGUUCAGGCCUCAGGGAUUCUUCGGUUUCUCUGCCAGUGACACUUGGGAUGUGUCCUACUGCCAAGAACCUUGGCUUAAAUCUUCUGGGCCUAACUCAAGUUAUCAGAGGCAAUCUGAAGACAUUUUCUGUCCUCAGUGUGCCAUGUGUUUUGAUCCUUGUAUCUGGGCAGGCAGGGCGCUCUAAAAUAGUGCUCAAUGGUUAAGAGCAUUUGUUACUCUUACACAGGACUUAGGUUUGGUUCCCAGCACCCAUGUGGUGGCUCACAACGGACUCCAGUUCCAACCAAUCCCAGUUCUACCAGCACCCACCCUCUCUACACCUCCUCCGGUACUAGGCACACACAUGGUGACUAAUACAUGCAGGCAAAACACUCAUACACAUAAAAUAAACAAACCUAAAAGAUU